UCGAACCCGGAGAUAGCUGGUUCUCCUCGAAAUAGCUUUAGGGCUAGCCUCAUACGAGUCUUGCGGAGGUAGAGCACUGAAUUCCUAAGGGGGCGUCAAAGCUUACUAAGGGAUAUCAAACUCCGAAUGCCGUGUAGAUGAUGUAUGGGAGUCAGACGAUCCGAGAUAAGUUGGGUGGUCAAAAGGGAAAGAGCCCAGACCAACAGCUAAGGCCCCAAAAUGUGUGUUAAGUGGAAAAGGAUGUGGGAUUUCGAAGACAACUAGGAUGUUGGCUCAGAAGCAGCCAUUCAUUCAAAGAGUGCGUAAUAGCUCACUAGUCGAGAGGUCCUGCGCCGAAAAUGUCCGGGGCUAAAACACACUGCCGAAGCUUUGGAAUUGAGAAUUCAAUUGGUAGAGGAGCAUUCUUAAAGGGACGAAGCAGUACCGUAAGGAGCUGUGGACUUUUAAGAAGAGAGAAUGCCGGAAUGAGUAGCGAGAGGAAGGUGGGAAUCCUUCCGGCCGAAUAUCUAAGGUUUCCAGAGUAAAGCUGAUCUGCUCUGGGUAAGUCGGGGCCUAAGGCGAGGUCGAAAGACGUAGUCGAUGGAUAACAGGUUGAAAUUCCUGUACUAUCCUGUAACAGAACUGUGGGGACACAGGCAGAGAGCGUGAGCCGGGAAUGGAAAGACCGGUACAAGCGAGGUAGGAGAAGAGUUGGCAAAUCCGCUCUUUAAUCUGAAGACGUGAUGUGGACUGAAAAUAAGUAGGGAAGCACGUGAGCUGACUGUCAAGAAAAGCCGCUAUUGUUUGCAGGAUACCCGUACCGUAAACCGACACAGGUGGAUGAGGAGAGAAUCCUAAGGCCGACGGGAGAAGCAUUGUUAAGGAACUCGGCAAAAUGACUCCGUAACUUCGGGAGAAGGAGUGCCAGUAAGAUGGCCGCAGAGAAUUGGCCCAAGCAACUGUUUAGCAAAAACACAGGUCUAUGCAAAACCGAAAGGUGAGGUAUAUGGGCUGACGCCUGCCCGGUGCUGGAAGGUUAAGGGGAGAGGUUAGCGCAAGCGAAGCUUUGAACUUAAGCCCCAGUAAACGGCGGCCGUAACUAUAACGGUCCUAAGGUAGCGAAAUUCCUUGUCGGGUAAGUUCCGACCCGCACGAAAGGCGUAAUGAUUUGGGCACUGUCUCAACAAUGCACCCGGUGAAAUUGAAAUACCAGUGAAGAUGCUGGUUACCUGCGCCAGGACGGAAAGACCCCAUGGAGCUUUACUCCAGCUUGAUACUGGGAUUCGGUAUUGCAUGUACAGGAUAGGUGGGAGGCUAGGAAAUGGUAACGCCAGUUGCCAUGGAGCCAAUGUUGGGAUACCACCCUUGCAGUACUGGGUUUCUAACCAGCAGCCGUGAUCCGGCUGGGGGACAAUGUCAGGUGGGGAGUUUGACUGGGGCGGUCGCCUCCGAAAGGGUAUCGGAGGCGCUCAAAGGU
rnacentral:rRNA from 1 species